rnacentral:rRNA from 1 species
UACAGAGGGUGCGAGCGUUGUUCGGAAUCACUGGGCGUAAAGCGCGCGCAGGCGGGACCUGCAAGUCGGAAGUGAAAGGCCGGGGCUCAACCCCGGAGCGGCUUUCGAGACUGCGGACCUGGAGACCAGUAGGGGUUGGUGGAAUUCCCGGUGUAGCGGUGGAAUGCGUAGAGAUCGGGAAGAACACCUGUGGCGAAGGCGGCCAACUGGGCUGGAUCUGACGCUGAGGCGCGAAAGCGUGGGGAGCAAACAGGAUUAGAAACCCCCGUAGUCC